CCUACGGUAGGCAGCAGUGGGGAAUAUUGCACAAUGGGGGAAACCCUGAUGCAGCGACGCCGCGUGAGUGAAGAAGUAAUUCGUUACGUAAAGCUCUAUCAGCAGGGAAGAAAUACUGACCUUACGGUCAGCAGACGGUACCUGAGUAAGAAGCCCCGGCUAACUACGUGCCAGCAGCCGCGGUAAUACGGAGGGUGCGAGCGUUAAUCGGAAUUACUGGGCGUAAAGCGCUCGUAGGCGGUAUGUCAAGUCAAGGGUGAAAUCCCCGCGCUCAACGUGGGAACUGCCUUUGAAACUGGCAAACUGGAGUGUGUGAGAGGAUAGUGGAAUUCCAGGUGUAGGAGUGAAAUCCGUAGAUAUCUGGAGGAACAUCAGUGGCGAAGGCGACUAUCUGGCACAUAACUGACGCUGAGGAGCGAAAGCGUGGGUAGCAAACAGGAUUAGAUACCCUUGUAGUC
rnacentral:rRNA from 1 species